rnacentral:rRNA from 1 species
CAGCCGCCGCGGGAAUACGGAGGGUGCAAGCGUUAAUCGGAAUUACUGGGCGUAAAGCGCACGCAGGCGGUCUGACAAGUCAGAUGUGAAAUCCCCGGGCUUAACCUGGGAACUGCAUUUGAAACUGUCAGGCUGGAGUCUUGUAGAGGGGGGUAGAAUUCCAGGUGUAGCGGUGAAAUGCGUAGAGAUCUGGAGGAAUACCGGUGGCGAAGGCGGCCCCCUGGACAAAGACUGACGCUCAGGUGCGAAAGCGUGGGGAGCAAACAGGAUUAGAUACCCGGGUAGUCCCUGUCUCUUAUAA